GCCAGGCAUGGUGGCACAUGCCUAUAGUCCCAGCUACUCCAGAGGCUGAGGCUAGAGGAUCGCUUGAGUCCAGGAGUUCUGGGCUGUAGUGUGUUAUGCCGAUCGAGUGUCCGCACUAAGUUCGGCAUUGAUAUGGUGACCUCCCUGGAGCGGGGAACCACCAGUUUGCCUAAGGAGGGGUGAACCAGCCCAGGUCGGAAACAGAGCAGGUCAAAACUCCCAUGCUGAUCAGUAGUGGAAUCGCACCUGUGAAUAGCCACUGCACUCCAGCCUGGGCAACAUAGCAAGACCCCAUCUCU
rnacentral:SRP_RNA from 1 species